rnacentral:rRNA from 1 species
UAGGGAAUAUUAGAAAUGGCCGAAAGUCUGAUCUAGCAACACCGCGUGUGCGAAGAAGGCCUUCGGGUUGUAAAGCACUUUUUGGAAGGAUUAGGAAGGAAUGUACUUCCAGAAUAAGUCUCGGCUAACUACGUGCCAGCAGCCGCGUUAACACGUAGGAGGCAAACGUUAUCCGGAUUUACUGGGCGUAAAGCGCGUGUAGGUGGUUCUGUAAGUAGGGCGUGAAAGCUCCGGGCUCAACUGGGAGAGGCCGUUCUAAACUGCAGAGCUAGAGGAUGGUAGAGGGAGGUGGAAU